AACGCGAAGAACCUUACCUAGGCUAGAAUGCGCGUGACCGCGCCAGAGAUGGCGCUUUCCUUCGGGACACAAAGCAAGGUGCUGCAUGGCCGUCGUCAGCUCGUGCCGUGAGGUGUUGGGUUAAGUCCCGCAACGAGCGCAACCCCUAUGUUUAGUUGCCAGCAUGUAAUGAUGGGGACUCUAGACAGACUGCCUGCGCAAGCAGUGAGGAAGGCGGGGACGACGUCAGGUCAUCAUGGCCCUUACGCCUAGGGCUACACACGUGCUACAAUGGACGGUACAGCGGGUUGCCAACCAGCGAUGGUGCGCCAAUCCCGAAGAGCCGUUCUCAGUUCGGAUCGGAGUCUGCAACUCGACUCCGUGAAGCUGGAAUCACUAGUAAUCGCGUAUCAGCAAUGACGCGGUGAAUACGUUCCCGGGUC
rnacentral:rRNA from 1 species